rnacentral:rRNA from 1 species
CCUACGGGGGACAGCAGUGAGGAAUAGUGGUCAAUGGGAGAGAGCCUGAACCAGCCAAGCCGCGUGAGGGAAGACGGCCCUAUGGGUUGUAAACCUCUUUUGUCGGAGAACAAAACCCGGGACGUGUCCCGGACUGCGUGUAUCCGAAGAAAAAGCAUCGGCUAACUCCGUGCCAGCAGCCGCGGUAAUACGGAGGAUGCGAGCGUUAUCCGGAUUUAGUGGGGUGAAAGGGUGCGUAGGCGGUCCGUUAAGUCAGCGGUAAAAUUGCGGGGCUCAACCCCGUCGAGCCGUUGAAACUGGCAGACUUGAGUUUGCGAGACGUACGCGGCCUGCUCGGUGUAGCGGU